AAUAGAGAAAUUCCUGUUGUGCAACUAUUGUCCAAAUGGUUUUAUGGAAAAAAAGUGGGCCAAAUGCUUUGGUUCUAGUCCAAUUUGCCUGUGAUCUGGUCAUAUUCAGGCUUUGGAGAAGCCCAUGCUUAUGCGGACUGACAGGGUUUUUAAGAACCUGCUGUGCCUUCUCCAUUUAUUAUUCUUCCCCUGGUUUCUGAUGCACACAGAAGACUAAGGUUCUUAAGACAGAGCCUCAAGAUGAGAGGAUCUGGGCACCUGAAUCCCAGGUGAAGGAUGCAGAUCAUAUGAUACCUCCUCGUGCAGUCCCUCUGAUCCUCCACAUCAGAAUUAAGUGCCUUAGCCACUAGGCUCACACAAUGGAUUUUACUCACCUUUCAUAUGAAGCUCAUCAUGCUGCAUCAUCCUUAUCUGUUUAUAAGUCUGACUCCACACCUUGUGAUCUUGAAGAGGACGGGAUAAUAUUCUACUCACCUCCACAUUCCCAAGGGAUGGCCGAGAGGCUGGCCCUAAUAGUUUAAUCACCAGGGGCCGCAGGCAUGUUUGCCCUUCGCUAGUCCAUUUUCCAGACUCCAGUCAAAGUGAUUUCCUUAAAAGCAUAAAUCAGAUCAUUUUAUUCCCCCUGCUUAGAACCCUUAAUAGACUUUCCAAUUGCUCUUAAGAUAAAGACCAAAUUCUUUCCAUGGCACGCAUAGCCCUGCAGGAUUCAGCUUGAGCUUACGUCUCCAGCUUCAUUGCUCACCAUUUCCCCCCUGCCCUUUACACGCCAGCCACCCUGGCCUCUCAGUACUUCCAAAGUGCCAUGUUUCUUCCUAGAAUCAGAGACUUCCCAUGUUCAUCUCCCUCAAUCUGGCACCCUUUGUACCUUCGAUCUGAGUUCAAAUAUCACCUCCUCAAGGAUGUCUUCUCUGACCCUUAGCUAGAUGGGGAUAGCUGUUAGAUACUCUCAAAAUACCCUAUGCUUUUCUCAUAGCACUUGGUGGCAUUUGUAAUUACACAGUCACAUGGAUGUGUUAUUUAGAUUAACAUUUGCUCCCUUUCUAGUCUGGAGGGCCCAUGAAGACAGUAAUCACCUGGCUUGCUCUUCACUGUUCAUAGCACCUACCACCAUGCCAGACUCAUGAAAGUACUUCAUAGAUAUUUCUUCACUGAAUGACUUUAUUAAACUACUAUAUCAAUAGUGCUGAAGUUUUUCUUAAUAUUCUGUAAAAUAUAGCCAUUUUGGUUGUCUAAGCUCUUGUAUUUCCUGUACGAACAGAAAACACAAUCAAAUUCACACACACACAGCCUGUCUUAAUGAGUUUUCACACAGAUCUUUAAAAUACAUAACCAGGCAUGAGAGUUCAUGGUUAUUAAUUUAUAAGCUAUACAUAAUUAUUAAAAUGAAGAUGGUAUGUAGGUGGCUAAGCCAAGGGCUAUUCCCUCUUGAAUGAGUUAUCAGGAAAUCUGGCUGUACUGAAUAUUUCAGAACACACUCCAGGAUUAGAAUCAAUGCUCACUGGAGUUUUCCUACAUAAAAGAUAACAAUGUAAUGAAAGGUGUGUGUACUUUUGAGCAUGUAUAUUCAAUUAAGAGCCAUUUCCAUAGCCUAUUGCAUCAAGUGGAAAGACAACUAGACUCUAGUUGUCUACUUUACAUAUCUUAAUGGAAUUUUUCAGAUUAUAAGCAUUAAUGUAGUGUGAAAAAAAUACAUAAUGUCUUUAGGAAAAAUCCUCAUUUGUUCACUUUCUUUCUCUUACUCCCUAGAAAUAUAAAUCAUAGGCAUAUGUAAAUGUGCAAAAUAGGCAAAAUA